rnacentral:rRNA from 1 species
GACGAACGCUGGCGGCAUGCCUAAUACAUGCAAGUCGAGCGAACAGAUGAAGUGCUUGCACUUCUGACGUUAGCGGCGAACGGGUGAGUAACACGUAAGGAAUCUACCUAUAAGCGGAGGAUAACAUUCGGAAACGGGUGCUAAUACCGCAUAAUAUCUUCUUCCGCAUGGAAGAAGAUUGAAAGACGGCUCUGCUGUCACUUAUAGAUGACCUUGCGGUGCAUUAGUUAGUUGGUGGGGUAAUGGCCUACCAAGACGAUGAUGCAUAGCCGACCUGAGAGGGUGAUCGGCCACAUUGGGACUGAGACACGGCCAAAACUCCUACAGGAGGCAGCAGUAGGGAAUCUUCCGCAAUGGGCGAAAGCCUGACGGAGCAAUGCCGCGUGAGUGAAGAAGGCCUUCGGGUCGUAAAACUCUGUUAUAAGAGAAGAACAAAUUGUAGAGUAACUGCUACAGUCUUGACGGUAUCUUAUCAGAAAGCCACGGCUAACUACGUGCCAGCCGCCGCCGUAA